rnacentral:rRNA from 1 species
UACGGGGGGGGCAAGCGUUGUUCGGAAUUACUGGGCGUAAAGGGCUCGUAGGUGGCCAACUAAGUCAGACGUGAAAUCCCUCAGCUUAACUGGGGAACUGCGUCUGAUACUGGAUGGCUUGAGUUUGGGAGAGGGAUGCGGAAUUCCAGGUGUAGCGGUGAAAUGCGUAGAUAUGCCAUAGAACACCAAUUGCGAAGGCAGCUGACUAGACCUGGAUUGACGCUGAGGCACGAAAGCGUGGGGAGCGAACAGG